AAUAACUUUGGUCUAAGAGGGAAAGUUGAAAUGAUCGACUUUUGAAAACCAAGUCGGGCCUUAACUCUACUAAGAAGAGCAAGGCCGGAUUUUAUAGAUGGAGCCCGAGCUGGGAGAAAUAGAGUCGUUGAAGCUUGAGAAGCGCUCAAUCAAGCAACAAGAGGUGUCUGAAAUGAGGGGGAGUGCUUUAUUUAUAGAUGGAGCCCGAGCUGGUCAGUACCGAGCAUGUCAGCGUCGUACUGACCAUGUUAGCGCCGGUACUAGUGAUGGUUGCUUGGCAGCGCUUAAUAUCGGUGGGCAGGUGAUCGGUACUGUCGCUGGACAGGUCGGUGCCGAUUAGGGCAAAUUAUUGCCCUGAGCUUUUAGCUUGAUUUUUGGAUUUUCGAGCUUUCGGGAGUCCGUUUGAGGCCCAAACGAUGUUUGAUCGAGUUGAUUGUCUCACCGUUGGAACCGUAGUGGAACUUCCUAGAGCCUGGUGCUAAAAUCAUAGUCAACAGUUUGUCCCUUCCUCAAGAUUGGAGCUAAUCUUGGUUCGAACUUUCGAACCCCAAUUUCAGCACUUCUGGUUAGUAUUUUGGUCUGAAAAUCAUACCUUGCAUAUUGUGGCGAUGUCUUGGAACAUCUUGUGAAAAUCUCGUCUGAUUUUGAUAAUAUUUUUUCAGAAUCAGUUUGAUUCGGCUAAUUUUUUGGGUCUUUUGUAAAAGCUCGUCACAUAGGAGGAUAAAACUUUGUUUGGAAAUCUGUCAUGGUCGAGUAGGUUGAAACCGUGCGAGAUUCUGAGUCCGGAUGAUUCCCAAAAAGUUUGAUCUUUCAGGGGAGGGGGAGGCUUGUCCUCAAGGGGGGGGUGUGGAGCCUCAGUUGCUCAUGCCACUCUCUUCUCCCUUUCUUGCUUUCUUACUUUACUUUGAGAAACCACUUUCUUGCCAAAACUCUUGUGAAAUGAACCGUCAUCACCAAUGACGUCCUAUUCCCCGCUCAACGAGUUUGAGCAAAGUGGGGACACUUCUCCAAUUUAGGGCCCAUCUAGCGUAGUGAGCAAGAUCAAGUCCCUCCUCUACCUUCAGUGUCGAGGUCCAGCCAGAGGGCUGCACUCCUCUUGUGCCGGAUCUAUUAUCCGAGAGCAUGCAGCGCAUCCGAUUCAUUGCACCGCAUGGCACUAUCAUUUAUCCUAUUUCAAAGGAUAUUUUGAAUCACUAGCCCGAGUAUCCCAAGGCCUCCUCUUGGUUGAUGUGAGGGGGUGAUCGUCCAGUUUGGUCAGCUCCGAGGGACACUGUAUGAGAUUCUGACCCGAGUGAGCUCUCUGAGGAGCCAGGUCAAAGCGCUGCGAUAGGAGCUCUGACGCCCUUGAUGCCUCCGGCUGCUGCUCUUUAUUUUUUCUGGUUUUAGAAUAGGCCUUUAGUUUUAGGCUCUUGGUAGUCUAUGUACCAAUUUUGAAGCAUUCUUUUGGGUUAAUUCACCUUUAGUUGUGGAAUCUUAUUUUGCAAAAACUUGGCCAUUUUAUUUAUCAAGCUAUUGAAUUUUAUUUUCGCA